AUUGAACGCUGGCGGCAGGCCUAACACAUGCAAGUCGAACGAGUGGCGGACGGGUGAGAAAUGUCUGGGCAACUGCCCGAUGGGGGGGGAUAACUGCUGGAAAUGGUAGAUAAUACCGCAUACCAGCUGAUGCCCCCAGAUGGGAUUGUCUAGUAGGGGGGGUAACGGCGCACCUAGGCGACGACCCCUAGCUGGUCUGAGAGGAUUACCAGCCACACUGGAACGGAGACACGGCCCAGACUCCUACGGGAGGCAGCAGUGGGGAAUAUUGCACAAUGGGCGCAAGCCUGAUGCAGCCAUGCCGCGUGUAUGAAGAAGGCCUUAGGGUUGUAAAGUACUUUCAGCGAGGAGGCGUUACUCGCAGAAGAAGCACCGGCUAACUCCGUGCCAGCAGCCGCGGUAAUUC
rnacentral:rRNA from 1 species